AAUACUAAUCAUAAAUAGUAUGAAAAGAAGAAAAAGCAAAUUCAAGGCUUAGAAACUACAGAGAGUGAAAAUCAUAUGGGAUCAUAUUUAGCUCAGAGACUCAUCGAUCUCAAUCUUGACAACAGCAUCAUCUUCAAAGCUAUCUGUUUUUGGUGGAGAAGAGGGAACUGGUAUCCUGGGCGGUCCUCUACCUUUCUUCUUGUUCCGUGGCCUCGCAUUGCCAAAUGAGUGGUUGAAUCGCUUCCCUUUGGCAGUCUUCUUGUCUCCUCUUCCGCAAUACACAAAUGGGAUUGGUGGAGAGGAAGUGGUGGCAGAGAAUGAGAGGGAAGGAGUUGAAUAGAGGAGAGAAAUGCCUAAGGUUUCAGAUUGAGAAGACGAGAAACGAGAACUGGUGCUGAGCCGUUGAGGUGUCAUUGGUAGUGCUCCUGCUGUUAGCAACGCCAUGGCUGAGCUGAACUUCUGCUUCGGCUUGGAGGAUAAGGUCCUUCGUCGGGUCCCCCUGCGGCUCUCCUGCACAAACGUUAUUUCUUCGAUCGAGUGGGGCGCGGGCC
rnacentral:misc_RNA from 1 species